UUCAUUUCAUAGUCAAUCAUUGAAGGAAGU
rnacentral:piRNA from 1 species